GUUGCGUCAGUUGCGGUCUGUUGUACUUGUUGAGCUUCAAAGACAAGGCAAAAAAGCUGAUCCUGAAAAGUGCCCCACCACAAGAGUCUUGGGACAGAUAUGACAUCCAAGUCAUGGGAGUAUUCUCAACGUAUGCUGAAGCUCAUGCCAAGCUUGACCGUGCUCAGUAUAUUUCGGACUUAAAUUCAGACAUGAGCGACGAUGGCAGACGAAAGCGACUUCCUCCAUGCCGUCUCAUCCA